GUCCUACAUUUUACAUACAUGUAUGCAGUUCCUCUUUUAUUUAUUUUUAGUUCCACUAUAUUUACUAUAUGUUUCAGGGUUCUCGAUAAGUUGCACCCUUUACAAUGUGAUGUCUGCAACGUGCCAAAUGAACUCGUUUUACUCCGUUCCCUAACUUUCUGAUUGAAAUUAGUACUUUUCAUUUAUAUGUUGAUUGUAUAUAUGUUCAUUACUUUGGCUCCAAUGAAGAGAUAAAUAUGAGAACAAAUAUUCAUAACCUAGAACAUCAUUCAAGCAGCCUUCAACAUGGAAAGCCUUUAUAAUUUAUGAUAUUAUCUUAUUUAUUUAAUAGUGAGCAUUGCACAGUUAGCAGUAAUUCAUCAAGUUGUGCUGAUUUAAUUUAUAAAGUGUUUAUCAUCUAUCUAUCUAUCUAUCUAUCUAUCUAUCUAUCUAUCUAUCUGUCUGUCUGUCUAUCAAUCACAUUAGAACUUUGUGCAACCAAUAGGAGAUAUGUAGAUUUGUAAUCUGCAGUUUUUAAUUAACUGUUAACAAAAGCAAACGCCCCCCUUUUGGCUGGUGCCAGUGACAGGAUUUUUGUCACUAGCCCACCUCCUUUUACCUGGCCCACUGACAUCCUGCUUCACAAGAUGACGAUGUUUGGGGGUAUGGGUUUGGUUGAGAAAUGAAAGCAAGUGAUUAACACAGGGUAUGUUUAUUCUUAUCAAUGCAUCCUGUAAGUUCCCUUCAGCAAAACCCCUUCCAGAUACAUGACACUUAUGAUGUAUGGCUGUUUCAGUGUUUUCUGUUGAAAAUUUUCUUUAAUUAGGUCCACUAUAAUUG